AUUAGAACAACCAACAACUACAACAAGGAAAACAAGCGAUCAGAGGUUUAGGUUGUGAGAAUCUACCUAUCGAGAUUAAUCGAGUUCAUGAGGGUUUGGAGCAUGGAACCAACAAUGCUACAGAGUAUACAGCACUCAACCAGGGAAUGAAGACUGCUUUAUUGAGCCACAUGAGUCCAUGACAUGCCAAUAGCUAUAUACUAUCAAAACCUCAUAUGCUUAGUGUUCGGAUAUUAUGCUUUACAUGUUAUAAUUUUGUACUAUACAAGGGUGCUGGUACUGUAUAA